CGGCGCGAAGCGGAGCGGGGAGAAGCGAAGAAGCAGCGGCGUUUCCAGCCUUGCCCGGCCGCCGUUCCCCCGCGAUUUUUCGCAGCGAAUAGCUGCAGGUUCCUUUUGGGUGAUACGCGCCUUUUGGGAGGGAAAUGCCAUGGGACCAGUUGUGAGCCUGAUCCCGGGAAACGGGUGAAGAAGGGAGAGGCAGGACCGCGGCGAGCAGGACUGCAGAGCCCUGCCUGGACACAGACGGGGGGAAAUUUCCAGAUUAAGGCCCAAAAGCACAUUUAGGAUGGUACACUGUGGCUCAAGGCUCCCUUUUCCCCAGGUAACGGCAGGUUUUCGGAGCAACCAGGCUUAAAUUGGGGGACUAUCAAAUCCCAUAUUUGCUAAGCCCAUUUGCUGAACCCACCCCCUCCUCGGAGAAUCCCUUUUCUCUCAGGUGCCCUUUCUUCUCCUCGCCCCAUCUUCCAACGGACCAUUCGGUGGCUCUACUGAUGGGUCAUGCCCCUAAGCCACCCAGAAACUAAAAAUGUCAAAAAAUGGCUCAAAGGGCACCCAAGAGGAGCGUGUUAGGCAGAGAUGCAGGCGAGGAAGCUGCACGUGAGCUUGGACCGUUUAUUACCGAGGUUAAACAACUGCUACAGGGAAAGGCAGCGCUGAGGAGCAACGGUGCAAAACAUACGAUGGACAAAUCCCACUCCCCACAAGGAACCCGUCAGGAACUCUGGAAUCGGUGAAUACGUUAUUUCUGCAGAGCAUCUUUUCCACGUCCAGCUGUAGUUACAGGCCCAGCUGCUUUGGUAAUUUAAACAAUCCCCCUUUGACCGUGGCCUGACGGGACGUGUGUACCAGUCAUUCCGCAGCCCUGCUACAGGUACCAGUAAGGAACCACUGGCUGUGGUUUUCAGAAAUGAGCCAUCUGGGGAGAUGAGCUGCUUUGUGACGCUCUUCUGUUCAGAAAGUAACAUCUCUUUAACAUCUUGAUAGCUUCAAACCGUAGGCAGCCCGGAUUAGUAGCUAUUUUUGAAAACCACACUUUCUUGACUGCUGGGGUUUCAGGUCCCUGGGUUGUACCACGCAUGCUCAAACUGGAGCUGCCCCAUCCCCGGUCACGGACGCAGCUUUAAGGUCUCAACCUGAUGCUUGGCAGUAGCUGAGCUGUUACUGGUUCCAGCUGGAACUCCCUCCUGGAGUUGCUUCUGAGGUCAUGCCUAUAGUUCGGUUAAAUAACUGGUACAGUGGCCUAAAAAAAGCUAAGUAGCACUUGUGCCAUAAAACACUAACUUGCUAAGCUUUUGCAUGCAUGCCAGCUUCCAUCACUAAAAGAAUUAUGUAGCUAACACCAGUCUGCAUUAGAGCUUUUGCCAUCACCUAUUUCCACACAAGAGCUACUACAGAACUGACCUGGGUUCUUUGCAGACAUUCCUAAUGCUUGCAGAGAGAAAAUAACUCUCUGGGCACAUUCAGAGCUGUACUUUUAAGGCACAGAGGCUGGCUUUCAGGUCUCGGUAUUCAGCUUUCUCAACUUCUCAGCAUCUGAAUUAAGGGCUAAAAUUAUGCAAUUUUGACUUUCGGUAAGUACAGCAUCUGCGAGAAGUUCAAUUUUGUGAGUGAGCAUUUGUGAUGUAAAUAAUUUACAGCGGUAAGAGAGGCACUGCAGCAAGCCUUGGCAAGGUGGGAGGAAAUUCAGAUUUCAGUCAAGCAGUGCUCCUUGUCAGGAGAGGCAAUUGAGAUACCUAUUCUCUGGCACAUCUUGUACGGCCACGAGACACCUACCAUCAGAGGCCGAGUUAAACUACCAGGUGAAAGAGAGUGUUAUCUUCCCAAACAGACAGCAGACACACAUGCUGCUGCAGCAACCCACUAGGGAAUAGGCAGGAAAGGGAAAUUAAGGCUGACACGCAAUUAGAGUAAAGUGAGUCUGCAAGUGCUGCUGAAAGCCCAUGGAAAGCAAAUGGAAAUCAGGCAGAAGCUAUUUCUACACAGAAUUUGGGGGUGAGCGAAGCAGAAAUAGGCUUUUGCUAAGAAUUAAAUUCAAACCCUCCCAGGAAUCCAAAUUUAGUGCUUAACACUUCUUGUAUCUGCUUGCUUUGUGCCGGCUCACACACGCUCAAGCUGCAGCCUGAUUGCAGAAAUGAACGGAAAAAAAUAAAA